rnacentral:rRNA from 1 species
CCUACGGGUGGCAGCAGUGAGGAAUAUUGGUCAAUGGGCGGAAGCCUGAACCAGCCAAGUAGCGUGCAGGAUGACGGCCCCACGGGUUGUAAACUGCUUUUAUACGGGAAUAACGCGCCUUACGUGUAGGGCUUUGCACGUAUCGUAUGAUAAAGGACCGGCUAAUUCCGUGCCAGCAGCCGCGGUAAUACGGAAGGUCCGGGCGUUAGCCGGAUUUAUUGGGUAUAAAGGGCGCGUAGGUCGCAUGUCAAGCGUGCCGUGAAAUGUCCGGGCUCAACCCGGGCCUUGCAGCGCGAACUGGCGUGCGUGAGUCCGCGGAAGGCAGGCGGAAUUCGUCGUGUAGCGGUGAAAUGCUUAGAUAUGACGAAGAACCCCGAUUGCGAAGGCAGCUUGCUGCAGCGGAACUGACGCUGAUGCUCGAAAGCGCGGGUAUCGAACAGGAUUAGAUACCCCUGUAGUC